UUUGAUGGCGACCGGCGCACGGGUGAGUAACACGUAUCCAACCUGCCGAUGACUCGGGGAUAGCCUUUCGAAAGAAAGAUUAAUACCCGAUGGCAUAGUUCUUCCGCAUGGUGGAACUAUUAAAGAAUUUCGGUCAUCGAUGGGGAUGCGUUCCAUUAGGCAGUUGGUGGGGUAACGGCCCACCAAACCUUCGAUGGAUAGGGGUUCUGAGAGGAAGGUCCCCCACAUUGGAACUGAGACACGGUCCAAACUCCUACGGGAGGCAGCAUG
rnacentral:rRNA from 1 species